GAUGAACGCUGGCGGCGCGCCUAACACAUGCAAGUCGAACGGCACCUGCCUUCGGGCAGAAGCGAGUGGCGAACGGCUGAGUAACACGUGGAGAACCUGCCCCCUCCCCCGGGAUAGCCGCCCGAAAGGACGGGUAAUACCGGAUACCCCGGGGUGCCGCAUGGCGCCCCGGCUAAAGCCCCGACGGGAGGGAUGGCUCCGCGGCCCAUCAGGUAGACGGCGGGGUGACGGCCCACCGUGCCGACAACGGGUAGCCGGGUUGAGAGACCGACCGGCCAGAUUGGGACUGAGACACGGCCCAG
rnacentral:rRNA from 1 species